rnacentral:misc_RNA from 1 species
UCGAAGUAUCAGGCUUGGCUUGUCGUUGGGCCCUUUGUCACCUGGUGACAGGUCCAAAAGAUAAUGACCGGUGUCAUAAAGACUCUAUAUGCAACGAGCUUAUAACAGCACGCAUCUAGUAGUUAUAUGGCCCGGUUGUCACCCCUCUAUUUAUCAA